ACCCAGGGCCAGAGCCUGCAGGGUCUGAGUCACAACCUGAAGUCAGUGAGAGUUGAGGGCUUUCUAUACAUCAGAAGAGGUGACCAGGUCUUUGCAGGAUCAGGCCCUAAGGGAGAAAGUUCUGGAAGCUGUUUUGGGCUAUGACAGGGAGCAGAAAUCAGGGUUGGGGCAGGGUGAUAUGUUGUAAAAUUUAACUGCAAGGUUUUACCUGGCCUAUAUGUUUCUUGUUUGUACUUUGCCAAAAGAGGUGAAUUAGGUGUAAUUUUAAAGGAGGGAGGAGGGGCACAUCCCCCUUCAGCCUUGGGGAAGAAACAACAAAUAUUCCUCAGCCUCCAACUUUCAGCUGACUGGAGGGGAGGAAAGCAAGGCUGCAGAGUGGGAAGCACAGGUUUCCAGGCCUCUAAGAGUCACUUUGAUAUUCAGUCUGACAAAUGGGUGUGUGUUCUGUAUGAGGACAGCUGAAACAAGAUUCAAAGCCUAGAAACCAAGAUGGAAACCCACCAAGCUCACCUGAAUGGCAGUAUGGAUAACAGCUAGACCCCCAGAAAUGGAUAUUCCACUAACUUCAAAGGAGUAUUGAGAAUCUGUACCAGCCUCAGCAGCUUGUUGUGUAGUUCCAGCUGUGAUGUAGACACUGGAUGCUGAAUUUAGACCAUGAAGUCAUUUCCUAUAAGCCAUCAAGCAGACAUCAGAUGGCAACAAGAGCUGGUCAGAAAAUGGGGAUGGGGAAAUGAGAACCUUUGUUUUAGAGCUGAUCAAAGCCCAAAAGAAAAAAAACAUUCAUGAAAAUUGUGUUGGCCAUUUUUCCUGAUUUUUCAUCAAAAUUUGGCCUAUCUGAGCAAUGAACUUCAUUACCUGCAAAUGAAUGCUGAGUCUGGCAAGAGGGACCCCAUGCCCAGAAGUGAAGAUGACAGGGACACAGGACCUUUUUUCUCGGGAAGGAGGAAGAUGUUUUCUAUACAUUAAUUCAACCCUCCCCAUACCAGUGUAUAUUAGGUCCAGUUGUCUGUGGGGGAGGCCGCUAACAAUGGAGCGGAGUGACUCAUUCACAAUGAAUAAAUGGUCUGACUAAUUUAACUUGUUUUUCUGCUCAUGCUUAUUCCAUGAACAAAUUACCAUUUCCUCAGCUUUAUUCAUUAUUUUGAUUUAUCCUGCAGAUUUGGUGUUGGUUUUUUUUUUAAACUCUCUUCAACUUUCGUUUACUCUAUGGCUUGAUUGUGAACUGCUUGCUGAGAGUUCGAAAAGGGAGCUGGGUUCUAGCUCAGGUUAUGACCGAUCAGAUUACUCAGGGAUACUAGCGCGACCAAAAGGAAAACAAGUGCUGAGUGAAUAUUAGUAUGUGUAUUUUUUUGCUGUAUCCACAGAUUUUAAUGCCAAAACGGACAUUAGAUCAUCUAGACUGAUCUCCUGGAGAACAUAGGCAAUAGAAUUUCAUCCAGAUACUCCUGUAUUGAGCCCAAUAAUUUGUAGUUGCCUAAAGCAUAUCUAAAUCAAUCGAUAUCAUAUCUGCCCGACUCUGGCUAACAACAACGGAUGUGGAGAGCAUAUGUGGGAUGACAUCAGCUGGUGAAGCACUAGGCUUUAGCCCUCACUAAAAAUAUAGUGGGGGAAAAGAGAAACCAAGGAGAAUGUUUAGGGCUGUGUUAGGACAAGAUCCUUAGGAUCCAGACCCCCACAGUUAGAGGGGCCUAGACAUCACAAUGAGUCAGAGGCAGAGCAUCAGGUAGUGGUGCAUUGUACAGCUGGGUGAUACCAGCAGCUGUCUGCUGGGGUGGUCUGGGUUGUGCUGCUUCACUUGGCAAGAAGAUCAAGGGCUCAGAAAUGUGGGGGAGACAAGAGUCCAUCCUGGAGGGCU